rnacentral:lncRNA from 1 species
GUGCUUUGUUACAUCGAUCUGCAGUAUCAAAAGCCCCAAAAUGCUUUAUUCUCGGGGAAAGCUGUGCACGGGCAGCACCUGAGGAGAUGCUGAGGUGCUUCUGCCCAGCGCUGGGUGCAUCAGGAAGCUGAGCCGGGUCCAGUUCCACCCUCCUGCCACAUCCAGCCCCAUGGUCCUAAGGUGCUGGCCUAGCUGGGUUCCUGGGUUUCACUGUUCACCUCUAGGAGGCACUGGGCGAGAAGAUGGUGUCGGUUGAAAAGAUGGCAGCGGGCGGGAAGAUGGCAGUGGCUGAGGGAGGAAGCCCAGAUCUUUCCUGGCGAGCUGGCUCCAUCCUACCUCGGAUAGAAACGUGUUAGGCAGCUGAGGGAACCAGGAGCAACUCUGACCCUUCUGAAAAUCAAGCAGAGGCCAUGAUUUGGAGAGACUCUUCUGCUUCCAUGGUAUUAUGUGGAGGUGGGAGAGCCCUCUAUUGCUAGAAAUGAAUGGGGGGAAUGCAUGGCUAUUCUAGUGAUGAGUGAAAACACACAGCUACAGCUGAAGGUAGAAGAGAUAUUCCCUGACCAUGACUGGAGCAUUAUUUUGACACCACUGAGUAUUUCAAAACGGAUGAGGAUAUGGUAAUUAUUUAAAACUCUCAUGUACUUAUGUAGCAGUUCUUGGCUGGUUGAAUGCUGACCCUUAUUAUAAUGAAGAGUAAUCUCAAAUUGUUGUGAGAAACUUGUGCAAGACAACGAUGAGCUUUAAAAUGAAGCUGUGUAUUUCUGCAGCUGCUUGAUAAGAAGCUUGAGGGCUGGGAACCUUCCUGGAAUUCAUAAAAAUGAAACACUGGAGAAUGACAAAUCCUUUAGUCUACCACUACAACACUUCAUUUCUGAGCAAAAGCAAUACUGAAUUUAUAAGAUUACAAACAGUUGU